AUUUUUAAUCCCUGCAUGGAUUUAGACACCUCUGCAAAGCCUUACAGUGCACCUGCUGAGAUGAAGCUGGCACCAAGCCACACAUACUGACCUGACCCUUUCCCAUCCACAUUCAGUCAGCCCACUGGACAGAGCUGGCUGUGCAGCUGCAGAAGUCCUUUCCCAGCCAGCAUGCCCACAUUGUGGCCUUUGCCACAGAACCAAAGUCUCCGUGGAAAGAACAAUCAUCCUGUUCAUGCUUUUGGAGAUGCUUCUUAAAUAUCUGUCAAAACCAAAUUGCUCAGCAUGAACAUGUGCAUUCUGACUCUAUUUAUAUGAAAGCACAGCAAAGUGCGGAUGACACACCUCCACACUGAGGCCCAGCGCAGGAAGGAGUCAUGCUUUUCAGCCAGAUUCUUUCUAGGUCACCAGUGCUUUGGAUGAAGAUGUCAGGAUCCUGCAUCUGUUCUUGUAUCUUGCCAGAUGUCUCAAGGUGAGAUAAGAGGAUUCAUGCAGCGAAGGAAAAAAAUUUAUCUGUACUGUGUUUUUUUGUGAGCCAGCUAAAAAUAAAUAAAUAAAUCAGGCCUCCCUUGGCAAACUGAAUGCUAUGAAGAGGUUUCACUUGGCUUGGAUUUACCUAUAUUUAGUAAAGAAUUUAACAAUAUACUAGAAAGAAUAUCCUUUGUUUAACUUCUUUUAAACCUUUUCCCUUGCUGAUCUGAAAAUACAAGUGUGCUGCAAAUAUUGCCAAAAUUAUGAUUGUCUUAAAAAUCUUUUGAGAAGAACUGACAGUGACAGCUAAUAUCCCCAGUAAAAUGUUGUGGUUUGGCUUUGAUUUGUGGUUAGCUGUGGCUAGAGUGGCAGCUGGAGGUACAAUUUGCAGAAGUACUUCCAAAAUUAUGAUUCAUUUCCAGUUGUAGUUGGACAGAUUGAACUGGGUUCAGACUUGGUUUCAUUCUUUCUUCUGAAAUACCUGUAUCUUGUACUGUUUCUGCAUUUCAAAGGUUCUCUUGUUCUCUCCACCGUCAUAGUUAUGCAGUUGUAAUUCUUUCAUAAAGAAUGGCUCUAGAAGGCCAAUAAAUAAA